UCCUCUGCCCUUCAUUCUCGAGGUUACAGGCAUUCUUUGAAUGAUUAUUCACUGUUCUUGAAUGAUUAUUUGUUUUGGGGCAUAAGCCCAUAAAAUCUUUUAAAUUAGAAUUAAAAUUACAAUUCCUUAAUUUAAUACCUAUAAACACAAAAAUCAACUUGUUAUUACAUUCUAAAAAGUUAGAAAACUUUAAAGUCAAAAGUUUUUUUUAUUAUUAGCCCUAAUUUUUAUCUUUCUCUUCGUCCUCUACCGGGUAAAGGAAAAAAAUGAUCAGUUUGCAAGCUUAAAAAUGAAAAUGCAUCAUCCUCCAUGAUUUGUGGUUCAACACUUCUAAUUGUAGGUUUGUUCUUUGCUUUUCUUUCUUUUCAAGUUAUUUUACUCUUACAAG
rnacentral:lncRNA from 1 species